AUGCGUUCUUAUUCAAGUUUUCAACUCAGUCAUUCGUUUAAGAUGCAAUCUUGUGUUAUAAGUAUUAGGCUAUCAUGAUUAUACAGUGAGCAAGCUAUAUAAAUAAGUAUUUAAUAUAAUAAAAGUGUAGAGCAACAACCGAGGUUGUAAGGUAAAGGCUGAAUAUUGUAGAUUUAUUACAAUAUGUUGCAUGUUUGAAUUAAAAUACCUGUGGAUAUGCAACUUCCCACUAAUGAAAGUUUUAUUCAAAAGGAGCACACACUCUACAAAGGCCUGACUGGAGAUUUGCCUGAUCUAUCCGUCCUUCAGGUGACAGCGGCUCGCUUCAAGAGCAGGUGAAGCAAGUUGGGACAAUGUUGAAGACAUUUGCUCGCACUGGGCAAUCAGGUGCAGAUCAAACCCUAAUGCUGCGACGUCUUGGAAUUUGCCGAUGUUGUGCGUAGCAUGGACGACAAAAUGCUAUGCUGCAACGUUUCAGUGCCAAUGUGUCUGUUGGAGAGUUAUCCCUGCCAGGGGAUCUGUUACUCCCCCCUAGACACCCAGGAAGAUUUGGCGUUGCUUGACAACAGUUUGAGGCAGGAUAAAGAGCUCCAGCAACGAUUUCUUCGGUUUUUGGCAAUCAAAUGUGGGAGGGACCUAAAGACAACCGUGUGGCGAAUGCUUCAGAGUAUCUUCUCUAAUCACCUUUCCAUCAAUACAACCUGGACUGGUGUAG